rnacentral:tRNA from 1 species
GGUCCCAUAGCUUAGCGGCAGAGCGCCACCCUAGUAAGGUGGAGGUCAUGGGUUCGAUUCCCAUUGGGACCU